rnacentral:rRNA from 1 species
UACGUAGGGUGCAAGCGUUGUCCGGAAUUAUUGGGCGUAAAGAGCUCGUAGGCGGUCUGUCGCGUCGGCUGUGAAAACCUGGGGCUCAACCCCGGGCCUGCAGCCGAUACGGGCAGACUAGAAUUCGGCAGGGGAGACUGGAAUUCCUGGUGUAGCGGUGAAAUGCGUAGAUAUCAGGAGGAACACCUGUGGUGUAGACGGCUCUCUGGACCGCAACUGACGCUGAGACACGAAAGCGUGGGUAGCAAACAGG